rnacentral:rRNA from 1 species
UACGAAGGGGGCUAGCGUUGCUCGGAAUCACUGGGCGUAAAGCGCACGUAGGCGGACUCUUAAGUCAGGGGUGAAAUCCUGGAGCUCAACUCCAGAACUGCCUUUGAUACUGGGAGUCUUGAGUUCGGGAGAGGUGAGUGGAACUGCGAGUGUAGAGGUGAAAUUCGUAGAUAUUCGCAAGAACACCAGUGGCGAAGGCGGCUCACUGGCCCGGUACUGACGCUGAGGUGCGAAAGCGUGGGGGGCAAACAGG